rnacentral:misc_RNA from 1 species
GGAAUCCUGAUGAUGCUGCAGCAGCUACAAAUAUCUGAGGAGGAAAAUUGGAUUGCCAUUGUGAAGAACCAUUACUCGUCGCCGCAAGCGAUAGAUCUCUUACAUUUGUAGCUCCAAUUCUUCUACCAUUGCUGCCACUUGGAAAUUGAAUUUGAUAAUUUGAUGAGCCAAAUUGCUGUGGAAACAUUUGAAUCAUAUGGGAUUGAUCACCAGGUCUCAUAAAUUGGCCAAACCGUUGCACUUGACUAUUAUUAUUAUUGUUAUGCUUCAAGGAGGCUGGAGAAUGCAAGUGCGUCUGGCUUAAAAGUUGCAACGUUUCUGUUUCAUUGUACCUGUUUUCUCUUCUUCGAACAUCGAUUAAGGCAGAUUGCUUCUCAGGCCUUAAACCAUGGCGCUGCCAAUCAAUAUCCAAUUGCAUUGUUGAUGAAGAAUUUUGACCUCUAUUAUCCCCCAAUUCUCGACUUCCUUGCUUUGAGCUUGAACCACCCAAACUUAAAUCCAGAUUAUGAUCAGCCACGUUAUCGGUAGAUUCAAUUGAGUUUAGUUCAUUCUCAUAAAUGCUUGGAUCAAAAUUUGUAACUGCAUCCUUCCCGUUACACUUGAUGGCAGCUUUAUCAUAAGCUCUGGCA